AGCAACUAUAGGACUCGGGCUUCUCGUACGCUGGGCUAUAAUUUAUGAAACUGAGCCCCAGAUCCAGCCAAUCAUUUAGCUCCUCAUAACAAGUCUAACUGGCUCUGGAAGGCUGAAAGGGCUGCACUAGAACAACAAAGAUGAGAUAUUCCACAUAACACUCAGCUGAUCUGGAAUCACUUUCUUUGCAGGGCCAGAGAAAAAUCACCACUUCACUGUCUGAGGGAAGCAGGACAGAGGACCUGAGAAAUGCGACCUCACCCCGGAGCAAGAUCUUUUAUGGUUUGGCAAUCCCAACAGUGCUGGCCUUAAAGAUCCCACCUACCGCUGGAACCCGGAGGGCAACUAUAGCAGCAAAAACCCGAAGUGCUGCUGCCUAUGGUGACUAUGUGAGAAUUGAAACUUCUGAGGGAAGCCAGGUUGUUAAAACUGUGAUGCCCUUUACUCAACGGUAACAUGGAUGAUCUAGUCUGAAAGGGAAAGCAAGCUCUUAAGACAAGUCCAAGGAUACUCUAAACUAAGGCAUUUAAGUCACUUCACAUGAUAAUUGUCCAGAAGUUUCCUGUAGGAAAACUUCAUCUUUGACAACUUUGAAGAUAACCAUCUCACGACUCAAGACAAUGGCCAACAACCAUCCAGCAAGUCCUUGAGUUAGAAGCUUUCUCAGCUUCUGGAGAUUGUCUGUGUCAAUAUAAAACUCAGUUUCCUUCUGACCCCUGGUGCCCUGACCCUUACAAACACUAAAGGUUUUGUUUGACUCAACUGCAAGCUGUUCAUCUGUUAGUAAGUAAUGCAUGCCCGAAAACACAUUCAUGAUGAGAGCUUUCUAAAAGACCAGCAUGGGCUUCCCUUCCUAUAAUCGUAACAGUCAUGAUAGCCUGAGACAUGUUACUGCUACUUGGCAAUUUGGGGGGGAGGGGUAGAUAUUUAGUGCCUGGAGCUGUCACAUAGCAGGGAAAACCCCACAUUGGGAUGAGGGAAGUGAUGUCUCAGUACAAUCCAACUUAAGGGGAUUAUACCAUUUACAUUUGAUUUCAAUACCUUAUUAAAAAACAGUGCAAUGAAGGAGGAAAUUUAAAAAUACACACAGAUACUCUAAUCGUCUUUUGCCUAAAGUUGUUAGUGCAGUGUAAAGUCAGCUAGGGGGCUUCCCUGGUGGCGCAGUGGUUGAGAGUCUGCCUGCCUGCCUGCCGAUGCAGGGGACAUGGGUUCAUGCCCCG